AUUGAACGCUGGCGGAAUGCUUUACACAUGCAAGUCGAGCGGCAGCACGGGGGCAACCCUGGUGGCGAGCGGCGAACGGGUGAGUAAUACAUCGGAACAUGCCCAGUCGUGGGGGAUAACACUUCGAAAGAAGUGCUAAUACCGCAUACGUCCUGAGGGAGAAAGCGGGGGAUCGCAAGACCUCGCGCGAUUGGAGUGGCCGAUGUCAGAUUAGCUAGUUGGUGGGGUAAAGGCCUACCAAGGCAACGAUCUGUAGCUGGUCUGAGAGGAUGAUCAGCCACAAGGGGACGAGGAACAGGCCAAGAACCCUGGGGGAGGCAGCAGGGGGAAAUUUGGAAAAGGGGGGGAACCCGGAACAAGCCAUCCCGGGGGGGGGAAGAGGGCCUUCGGGUUGAAAAGCUCUUUGGGGAGGAAAAAAACGGGGAGCUUAAAAAUAGCUUGAAAAGAAGGGAACCUAAAAAAAAAACACCGCCUAACUCGGG
rnacentral:rRNA from 1 species